GAACCUGCGGAAGGAUCAUUAUCGAGUUUUGAACGGGUUGUAGCUGGCCUCAUACGGGGCAUGUGCACGCCUGGCUCAUCCACUCUUCAACCUCUGUGCACUUAUUGUAGAUCGGUGAUAAGGUCGAGUUCUUUCACGAGUUCUUGGCUGGAAAACCUUUCUACGUUUUUACCACAAACGCUUCAGUUAUAGAAUGUUUAUCUGCGUAUAACGCAUCUUUAUACAACUUUCAGCAACGGAUCUCUUGGCUCUCGCAUCGAUGAAGAACGCAGCGAAAUGCGAUAAGUAAUGUGAAUUGCAGAAUUCAGUGAAUCAUCGAAUCUUUGAACGCACCUUGCGCUCCCUGGUAUUCCGGGGAGCAUGCCUGUUUGAGUGUCAUGGAAUUCUCAACUCUUAAUACUUUUUUGUAUCAAGAGCUUGGACUUGGAGGCUUGUGCUGGCUGCUCGUUCAGUCGGCUCCUCUGAAAUGCAUUAGCGUGAAUUAAUAUGGAUCGCUUCGGUGUGAUAAUUAUCUGCGCCGUAGUCGUGAAGUACUUGAUAACGUUUACGCUUCUAAUCGUCCUUCACGGGACAAUUAAACCCUGACUUUUUGACCUCAAAUCAGGUAGGACUACCCGCUGAACUUAAGCAUAUCAU
rnacentral:rRNA from 1 species